rnacentral:rRNA from 1 species
CCUACGGGAGGCAGCAGUGAGGAAUAUUGGACAAUGGGCGCAAGCCUGAUCCAGCCAUGCCGCGUGCAGGAAGAAGGUCCUAUGGAUUGUAAACUGCUUUUAUACAGGAAGAAACACCUCUACGUGUAGAGACUUGACGGUACUGUAUGAAUAAGGACCGGCUAACUCCGUGCCAGCAGCCGCGGUAAU